rnacentral:rRNA from 1 species
GAUGAACGCUAGCGGCAGGCCUAACACAUGCAAGUCGAGGGGUAACUAGAGUGAUAGCAAUAUUACUUUGGCUAGACCGGCGCACGGGUGCGUAACACGUAUGCAACCUACCUUAUACUGGGGAAUAACUUCGAGAAAUCGGCGCUAAUACCUCAUAACACUUCGGAGAGGCAUCUCUUUGCAGUUAAAGCUCCGGCGGUAUAAGAUGGGCAUGCGUCCAUUUGGCUAGUUGGUGAGGUAACGGCUCACCAAGGCUACGCUUGGUAGGGGUUCUGAGAAGAUGAUCCCCCACACUGGUACUGAGACACGGACCAGACUCCUACGGGAGGCAGCAGUGAGGAAUAUUGCGCAAUGGACGAAAGUCUGACGCAGCCAUGCCGCGUGCAGGAUGACGGCCCUAUGGGUUGUAAACUGCUUUUGUACAGGAAUAAACCCUUCUACGUGUAGGAGGCUGAAGGUACCGUAAGAAUAAGCACCGGCUAACUCCGUGCCAGCAGCCGCAGUAA